GACGAACGCUGGCGGCGUGCUUAACACAUGCAAGUCGAACGGAAAGGCCCUGCUUUUGUGGUGUGCUCGAGUGGCGAACGGGUGAGUAACACGUGAGUAACCUGCCCUUGACUUUGGGAUAACUUCAGGAAACUGGGGCUAAUACCGGAUAGGAUCUCCUGCUGCAUGGUGGGGGUUGGAAAGUUUCGGCGGUUGGGGAUGGACUCGCGGCUUAUCAGCUUGUUGGUGGGGUAGUGGCUUACCAAGGCUUUGACGGGUAGCCGGCCUGAGAGGGUGACCGGCCACAUUGGGACUGAGAUACGGCCCAGACUCCUACGGGAGGCAGCAGUGGGGAAUAUUGCACAAUGGGCGGAAGCCUGAUGCAGCAACGCCGCGUGCGGGAUGACGGCCUUCGGGUUGUAAACCGCUUUCGCCUGUGACGAAGCGUGAGUGACGGUAAUGGGUAAAGAAGCACCGGCUAACUACGUG
rnacentral:rRNA from 1 species